rnacentral:rRNA from 1 species
UGGGGAAUUUUGGACAAUGGGGGAAACCCUGAUCCAGCCAUCCCGCGUGUGCGAUGUAGGCCUUCGGGUUGUAAAGUACUUUUGGCAGGAAAGAAACGUCAUGGGUUAAUACCCCGUGAAACUGACGGUACCUGCAGAAUAAGCACCGGCUAACUACGUGCCAGCAGCCGCGGUAAUACGUAGGGUGCAAGCGUUAAUCGGAAUUACUGGGCGUAAAGCGUGCGCAGGCGGUGCGGAAAGAAAGAUGUGAAAUCCCAGAGCUCAACUUUGGAACUGCAUUUUUAACUACCGGGCUAGAGUGUGUCAGAGGGAGGUGGAAUUCCGCGUGUAGCAGUGAAAUGCGUAGAUAAGCGGAGGAACACCGAUGGCGAAGGCAGCCUCCUAAGAUAACACUGACGCUCAUGAACGAAGGCGUGGGUAGCAAACGGG